rnacentral:rRNA from 1 species
CAGUCGCCGCGGGAAUACAGAGGAUGCAAGCGUUGUCCGGAAUGAUUGGGCGUAAAGCGUGCGCAGGCGGUUGUGUAAGACAGGUGUGAAAUCCCCGGGCUUAACCUGGGAACUGCAUUUGUGACUGGCGGGCUAGAGUAUGGCAGAGGGGGGUAGAAUUCCACGUGUAGCAGUGAAAUGCGUAGGGAUGUGGAGGAAUACCGAUGGCGAAGGCAGCCCCCUGGGCCAAUACUGACGCUCAUGCACGAAAGCGUGGGGAGCAAACAGGAUUAGAUACCCCUGAGUCCCUGUCUCUUAUACA